rnacentral:SRP_RNA from 1 species
UCAUGGAGAUCGACCCGGUGCAACUGGAUGUGCUGAGAGUGCCGCCCGAGGCCUUGCGUGUGCAGGGAUCUUGGGAGCGCAUCGCCGCUGGCGCACAGAGCAACGACUUUCCCCUGCUCCCAGCUG